rnacentral:lncRNA from 1 species
GCAGUGUCAGCUCCCGCAGGAGCCUUUCUGUACUUCCCCACUGCCGCAGCAGUGCCCGUUCCCGCAGGAGCCUUUCCAUAUUUCCCCACUGCCGCAGCAGUGCAUGCUCCCACAGGUGCCCUUUCUAUAUUUCCCCACUGCCGCAGCAGUGCCCGUUCCCGCAGGAGCCUUUUCAUAUUUCCCCACUGCCGCAGCAGUGUAUGCUCCCGCAGGAGCCUUUCCGUAUUUAGCCAUUUUUUCUUUUCAGAUGCCACAGCAGCAGCCGCUUCAGCAGAAGCCAAUUUCUCUGUUCAGAUGCCGUAGCAGUUCCCACUCCCGCAGGAGCCUCUAUCCAUAUAUCCCCACUGCCGUAGCAGUGCCUGCUCCCACAGGAGCUCUUCCAUAUUUCCCCACUGGUGCAGCAGUGUCAACUCCCGCAGGAGCCUUUUCUAUCUUCCCUACUGCCGCAAUAAUCGCAUCUCCAGCAGGAGUUGUCAUCUCUCUCUUUCAAGUGGACGCUUCCACGGAAGUCAAAUUCUUUUCCUAGACACUGCCGCAACAAUUAUAUACCAAAGGACGUCCAGCACCCAUCUAACAUUAAGCCCUGCUUUUUGGGGAGUAGUAAAUGUGCGUAUCUGUUCUAAUUGCUUUUUGGGGAGCACUUUGGGCUGGGCCGGACUCCGAGCUCAGACCCCUCUCCCCACACGGGGGGGGGGUGGAUGCCCCGGCGCGGGAGUCUUGCCGGGCUCGGAGCUCUCUCCCCGGACAGCACGCCAAAUAUGCAUAACCUUUAUUUAAUUUUAAGUAAAUGUGAACUCGUGAAGUGAUGUUUCAUAAACAAAUUUCAGGAGGAGCAUGCACGGAUAAUUAACACGGCCAGUUCAUCAUUAGUGAUUACACCAUUUACCAAUCAGCUCAAGAGGACGUCCUACCUUCGUUAUCGCUCGACAUUCAGGAUUCAGUAUGCUCUGUUGCCAUCUUAUCACAGACCCAAUUUUCUGUCCAACGAAGAGAUCUAUACCAGGGAUUUUUUCAGAUUUGCCGCAUUUGCCGGCCCUAUGAUAACUCCUAAAACACGGCCGCCGAUCACCGCACGAGGCAUUAUCGCGAAGUAAAUUACUGCACAAUUGUGAGAUUGACUUUUCAGCAGCUGUGGCUAAUAUAGAGCCAGGUGGGGUAGUGCCCCAUCAAAUCAGACCUACAUUCAACAUGUAAAUUUGUUCAGAAUUCUGCAACAAACAUUAAUCAGAGUUUCUAGAUUAUUUAAAGUCAUAAAAUGAGUUGGAUACAAUGAAAUUUAGUGGCAAAGUUACACAUUGUGAGUAGGACAUCUAAAAAAUGGACUAUUAAAAUAAAGUGUAAGCCAAAUAUAUAUAAAAAGUUUGAGAUCUGUAAGAUUUAGUACUGGUAGUUUUUUUUCUUUAUGUGUUUUGUUUUGUUUUGUUUUCUAUGUGUUUGUUUUGUUUUUGUUUUUGUUUUUGUUGUUGUUUUUUUUCUUUUUUUUUUGUUUUUUUUGUUUUUGUUUUUGGUGUGGUUCUGUUUGGUUUUGUGAUUUUGUUUUUGUUUUAUGUAAAUAUUUUAGAUAGACCGAAUUGCUGUGAAGGUUGUGUGAUAUGUUUGCUUGAGUUCUUUGAGUUUUGGUUUGAAAGUCAGCUUUGAUUGUUCCUAAUAAACUGUUUAACUGCACUCACAAGUGAAUAUUAAAUUAUGUUGUGGGAUAAUUAAAUAUAUUCUAAAUAAACUACAAACAUAAAAUUAUAUACAUUUAUUUUGUCCUCACAUUCUUUCUUGUAACUCAUCCCUCUCAGUGACACAGCUGACUGAAUGGCUCAUUAUGCAGCUCAUUAUGCAGGCCUUUGUCUUCUCAGGUGUGAAUUCAUGAUAGUUGAUGCCUACUCGCAUAUGACUUUUACCAACAAAAAGUGUCUUAGAAAAUUUAAAUCAAUAUAUUGUUUUCUGUAAGUGAGUAAACAAGAUGAUUUUCACAUCAUUUAGAAAGAAAAAUUCUAGACUACAAGCUCCAGUUCUCAAUGUUCUGUAUGUGUUUUAUUGCCUUAUUCAAGUGAUUU